rnacentral:rRNA from 1 species
CUGGCUCAGGAUGAACGCUGGCGGCGUGCCUAACACAUGCAAGUCGAACGAAGCUCUUGAUGCGGAGAUUCGGUCAAAGCGGAUAGAUGACUGAGUGGCGGACGGGUGAGUAACGCGUGGGCAACCUGCCCUAUACUGGGGGAUAGCAGUUGGAAACGACUGAUAAUACCGCAUAAGCGCACGGAAGGGCAUCCUUCUGUGUGAAAAGAUUUAUUGGUAUAGGAUGGACCCCGCGUCUGAUUAGCUGGUUGGUGAGGUAACGGCCCACCAAGGCGACGAUCAGUAACCGGACUGAGAGGUCGGACGGCCACAUUGGGACUGAGAGACGGCCCAAACUCCUACGGGAGGCAGCAGUGGGGGAUAUUGCACAAUGGGGGGAACCCUGAUGCAGCGACGCCGCCGUGAGUGAAGAAGUAUUUCGGUAUGUAAAGCCCUAUCGACAGGGAAGAAAGACCACGUAAGUGGAGAUGACGGUACCUGAAUAAGAAGCCCCGGCUAACUACGUGCCAGCCGCAGC